rnacentral:rRNA from 1 species
CAGUAGCCGCGGGAAUGCGUAGGUGGCAAGCGUUGUCCGGAAUUAUUGGGCGUAAAGGGCUCGCAGGCGGUUUCUUAAGUCUGAUGUGAAAGCCCCCGGCUCAACCGGGGAGGGUCAUUGGAAACUGGGAAACUUGAGUGCAGAAGAGGAGAGUGGAAUUCCACGUGUAGCGGUGAAAUGCGUAGAGAUGUGGAGGAACACCAGUGGCGAAGGCGACUCUCUGGUCUGUAACUGACGCUGAGGAGCGAAAGCGUGGGGAGCGAACAGGAUUAGAUACCCCGGUAGUCCCUGUCUCUUAUAC